AAAAGUCAAAUUGCCGCUAAAGGGAAAAAAUAGAAAUUGGGCCAAAAAGAAUUAUGAAACCGCCCGCAAUAAGGAAAAAAAGUCAAUCUCUUUCCUCUUCCCAGCAACGAUCGAUAAUUCCUUAGGUUUAAUCAAUUCCGUCUCGCGCAAUUCAUCAGAAAAUCGAUCGUCUCAAUCGUGAUAUUGGGUUUCAUCGAAUUCGUGCUUCUAAUUUCAGUUUUGAGUUAUGUGGUAUCCAGGUGCUCGGGCAGCAGAUGAGUUGCGGCGGCUUCACUGAGAUCUUACUUCAUUGCAAUUCGGAUGAUAUACUCUUGUGAGAAAUUCAAAGGAACUAUUUGAGAAUUUCGGGUUUCAUGAUAUACAGCUUGUGCUCAUCGGUCUCAUAAUCUUUCAGACUCUUAUUUAAGUCUUCUAAAGCAUGGAUGCCACUGGUGUCAAUAUCGAUUACAGCUGCAAACAAAGAAAUUAAAAAAUGAUAGACUUAGAUAAUGCAUGCUAGGUUCACUUUACAGCCUAUAAGAAAUCACAGUGAGGUUAGCCAUUACCAUUUAGCAGAAACUACACAGAACAUUCAGAAUUCCCAUUGGAUCAAGAUGAUAGAUUGGAUCGGAUAGCAAAUGAAGAUUAAAGUUGACAUUGAGAAUCAUGCAGACGUAAGGGAAACCAGUUGAAGAUGAAAAGAUAGAAGACAUUUAGUUUUGGAUUAUACCUUUUAGUUUUGGAUAUGACCAUUUGAUUUUAUUUUGAACAUAAUAAUGAAAUUUUCAUAGAUCGUACAUCAAAUACUAUUAUAUAUUUGAAUUUGUUAAUUUGUUAGGGAGCGGGUGUGCUCCCUUCCUUUA